rnacentral:rRNA from 1 species
UACAGAGGGGGCAAGCGUUGUUCGGAAUUACUGGGCGUAAAGGGCUCGUAGGUGGCCAACUAAGUCAGACGUGAAAUCCCCGGGCUUAACCCGGGAACUGCGUCCGAUACUGGUGGGCUUGAAUCCGGGAGAGGGAUGUGGAAUUCCACGUGUAGCGGUGAAAUGCGUAGAGAUGUGGAGGAACACCGAUGGCGAAGGCAGGUCUCUGGGCAUUAACUGACGCUGAGGAGCGAAAGCAUGGGGAGCGAACAGG